GUCGUUCAGCGAGAGGCACGGUAAACAGGACUUGACCGAGUCCUCUGAGUUUCCACUCCGCAGUCUACGGUCUACACCUUUCGCCUUUACUACAGGUAGAUUAUACAGCCGAGUCGUAACAGAACUGCGAAGAACACGUCAUCGUGGAUCUACUACCAUUUCAUGAAUUUGGUGGAAUUUCAAAUUUGUCGACUGAUAUACCGGAGGAGAAUCUGAGCGCGCAUGGUAUAGUGUGGCUACGUACUCCAUCGAAUAAUAUCAGUCGUGACAAGAAGUAAGAUUGUCCACGAUGUCAUCCGAAAGAAUUGUAGGCGAUAAUCACGACCGGAGAUCACGGAGUGCGCAAAAUGAUCGGAGCUCCGUUGCUUCGGGACCUUUGCCGUAUUCCCUGAACCGAUUGAACAAAAACACUCCACGAAGUGCCUCCCAUGGUAGUCUGUAUGACAACAAUUCAGAUAUUUACGUAACAAGUGCCGCCUACAAAGCACCCUCCGAGAUAAGUCAAGGGUCGCGGUACAGUUUAGCGCCCAGUGCAAAGGUUGGUCACGAGGUACCUAGUAGCUACGGAUAUCCUCCAUCUGGGAGAUCCGGAAUAUCCACAACCAAAACACGCACCUCGCGAAAAGGAGGCUUAGUCAUGGAAACCAUGUCCGCACCAAAUCCCUUCUGCCCCAAUACCAAAGGCAUCUGUUGCCUGAUGUUGCUUUUAAACCUUGGUCUGAUUCUCGUUACUCUGGGUUUCGUAAUUGUGCUUCAAUUCUUCGAGCCGUUAUUCGUAUGGAUUCUCGGGAUAGUUUUCUUAGUCUUUGGAUUUCUCACACUCCUUGGUAGCCUACUCUACUGUGUUCAUGUCUUUCGAGAUGCAAGGCAUCCAAAGGAUAUUAACCAAGAGGACUUGUACUGGUCGUGGCACUGGCAAAGGCGGAUUAAUUCGCCUCCAGAGAUACACUAUAGGGCAGACGAUAAAUAUCAGGAUGACGAAUACAGUGAUAGAUUAAGCAAAUAUUCCGGAAAAAUGUCUGACAAGCACAGUCAACGGUAUUGAAGAAAAGAAUCACAUACAUAUACUGAAGAUCGACGCAUCGUCAGAAAAAACGUUAAAACAUAAAGGAAAAGGCUAAAAGUAAAUGAGAAAAAAACGAUGAUGAUAGAAAGAGCAAUCAGCUGGAUUGUGUAAAGACGUUAAAAAUGUAAAUAACAAAUUUACUGACAAAAGCAAAUUGUGUUCAUGACUAAAUAUUGGUCAUUAUCUAACCGUAAAAGGCAUGUGUUACAAUAAAUCGUAUAACAGCUGAGUCACAACAUACGCCGAUGUAAUAAUCAAAAUCGAAAGGAAGAUUGCAUCCAACCCUGGAAAUAUUUUCAGCGAUACGAGACUUUUAACUCAUUAUGUAAAGUCGCUUAUAUCCAAUCAGGACAACCGCGGCAAGUUUAUGUUAUUUGAGAAAUACACAUAACUGUAUUAGAUAUAAUAAUAUAUAUUUUGUUCUAACAUUUUUUUAACACGUUUAUUUAAAACACCGUUUUACUUGGCAAAGCCAGGAUUGUUAUGGAUAAUUGUUCUUCUCGUCAGCUGUACGUGUAAGUGAACGUAAUUGACCGAGUAGCAAGUAAGAUAUUGCAAUUACUUGAACAAAAACUGAUUUGAUUGAGCUCCUCACAAAAACGAUGAGAGUGACGAAAAUUUCGUUUGGGAACAAUUUAAUACAAACGCCAAGCCGAUGGGAGGAUGAAUCCAUUACAUAAUAUUAUAUUCUUUUUCGCGUGAUACAAUUACUUAUGGGCAGCUGUGCACGUACGUACAUGUGUAGAUACAUAGGUUGUAAUAUAUAAUAAUAUGAUCAGUUCACGAAUAAUCUCGACUCAAGUUAUAUAGGUACAAUAAGCAGAUUAUUUAUAAUUUCGUUAUCUAGUUUGUUGUUUGAUCUUUUUUACUCUUUCACUACGCUGUGUGUACUUAUGAACCUCUGAUCGUGAACAAUAUAAAUGACUGUAUCAACUGUG
rnacentral:misc_RNA from 1 species